rnacentral:rRNA from 1 species
UACGGAGGGUGCGAGCGUUAUCCGGAAUUACUGGGUUUAAAGGGUGCGUAGGCGGCCAUGUAAGUCAGGGGUGAAAGUUUGCGGCUCAACCGUAAAAUUGCUUUUGAUACUGCAUGGCUGGAAUCAGGAUGAGGUCAGCGGAAUGUGGCAUGUAGCGGUGAAAUGCAUAGAUAUGCCAUAGAACACCAAUUGCGAAGGCAGCUGGCUAGACCUGUAUUGACGCUGAGGCACGAAAGCGUGGGGAGCGAACAGG